rnacentral:rRNA from 1 species
GACGAACGCUGGCGGCGUGCUUAACACAUGCAAGUCGAACGGGUCUGCCCUGUUUUUUGCGGGGUGGGUCAGUGGCGAACGGGUGAGUAACACGUGAGUAACCUGCCCCUCACUUCUGGAUAACCGCUUGAAAGGGUGGCUAAUACGGGGUGUUCUGGCUGUGCCGCAUGGUGUGGCUGGGAAAGAUUCACUUUUGUGGUGUUUUGGUGGGGGAUGGGCUGGCGGCCUAUCAGCUUGUUGGUGGGGUGAUGGCCUGCCAAGGCUUUGACGGGUAGCCGGCCUGAGAGGGUGGGCGGUCACACUGGGACUGAGAUACGGGCCGGACUCCUGCGGGAGGCAGCAGUGGGGGGUAUUGCACAAUGGGCGGAAGCCUGAUGCAGCGACGUCGCGUGAGGGAUGGAGGCCUUCGGGUUGUGAACCUCUUUCGCCGGUGAAGAAGGUCCUGCUCUUUGUGGUGGGGUUGACGGUAGCCGGGUUAUGAAGCGCCGGCUAACUACGUG